rnacentral:rRNA from 1 species
UACGGAGGGUGCGAGCGUUGUCCGGAAUCACUGGGCGUAAAGGGCGCGUAGGCGGCCGUGUAAGUCACUUGUGAAAUCCCGGGGCUCAACUCCGGGGCUGCAGGUGAGACUGCGUGGCUAGAGCACGGUAGAGGCGAGUGGAAUUCCCGGUGUAGCGGUGGAAUGCGUAGAUAUCGUAAGGAAGACCAGUGGCGAAGGCGGGUCUCUGGACAGUUCCUGACGCUGAGGCACGAAGGUCAGGGGAGCAAACGGG